GAGUGCCGAAGUGAUGACGUCAUUUUGUAGGACAACUCGGAAGCUAGCGGCGCAUGGGUUCCCUCGAUCGAAAAGCUAUGCAUUUUCCCCAUAGACUUUUGGAAAAUCGCAAAAAUUCAUAACGUGUAACCCUUACACGUUUUGUCUAUCAAGGUAAUCUUUACAAGUUAAUCCAAAAUUUAUACAUUUUGAAGCCUAUAUAAAGUUUUUAAAAAACACAAGCAGACACAAUAAAGUUUAAAAAACCACAAGCAGGUUAUAACUGUGUGUUCUAUGUCAUAGAUCCAAAACGUGAAAAUAUUUAGAGGCUUUGUUCACCACAGACCUUAUUUCAGGCGAUUUAGCAAAAACCCAUUCAAAAAUCCCAUAGACUUUAGAGCGAGGGAACCGGGAGUGCUAAAAUGCUAACUCACUUCCGCGUUUUGGCCUACAGAGUGACGUC